UCAACUCUACUUUAUAUUACCAAAAAAACACAAACACGGUGUUAGUUUGAGAGCGAGCAAAUUGUUGGAUUUACUAGAGCUAAAACCCUUUGAAAAACCCAGCUCAACUGGAGAAUAGCAAAAUUCUCGAGUUGGAGCAAUGGAGAAGAUGAGUGGGAAUUCGGGGUACAAGGAGUAUGUAGCUGGGCUCAUGGCCGGUAUUGCCAUUGUCAUUACCGGUCACCCUUUUGAUACCGUCAAGGUGAAGCUCCAGAAACACAAUACGGAAGCUCGUGGAAUAAAGUACAAGAAUGGAUUGCAUUGUGCUGCUCGAAUAUUAAAAACUGAAGGAGUUAAGGGGCUCUAUCGAGGAGCUACAUCUUCGUUCAUUGGCAUGGCCUUUGAGAGCUCACUUGUAUUUGGCAUUUAUUCCCAAACAAAAAUAUUGCUGCAGGGUGGACCUGAUGGAGGUAAGCCCCAGCCUCAAGCGAUAGUUCCUUCAGCUGCCUUUGGAGGAGCUAUUAUCAGCUUCAUUCUAUGUCCAUCAGAACUGGUGAAGUGUAGGAUGCAAGUUCAGGGUGCUGAUUCCGUGUUACCAAGCUCCAGUAGAUAUGGUGGUCCUCUUGAGUGUGCCCUUAAAACUGUAAAAUGUGAAGGGAUCACAGGCAUAUUUCGAGGAGGCUUCACAACCUUAUUAAGAGAAUCUUUCGGAAACGCUGUCUUCUUUAGUACAUAUGAAUAUGUGCGUUAUCACUUGCAUCUACAACGUAAAGGUGCUUCAUCCGAGUCUAGCCAAUUGAUUGAUAUUGGAGUUGGAAUAAUGAGUGGCGGUCUUGGCGGUAUAGCAUGCUGGUCAGCAGUUCUGCCGUUGGAUGUAGCAAAAACUAUAAUUCAAACUACCCCAGAGAAAAACCAUACGAGAAACCCGUUUCGUGUUUUAAAAUCGAUAUAUGCGAGAUCUGGUCUAAGAGGAUGCUAUAUGGGUCUAGGUCCUACAAUUGUGAGAGCGUUUCCUGCUAAUGCAGCUGCAAUUGUUACAUGGGAGCUGUCUGCCAAACUGUUGGGAAUCAAGCGUGAUUUCAACUAGUAAGAUAUCUUGGUUGCUGCCAAUAUUUAUUCUGGUUGCCUGCUGGCUUAAAGCUUUAGAGGCUCGUAGCAAGGAAAUGAUGGUGAUUCUGAGAAUACACCAGUAUCAGAUGUGAUCAAUCUCACCAGGGACUUGGGAGAAUCAGCAGUCAAGGCUUCCUGCCUGCUGGAAAAAGCAGGGGACGGCAAAGAAUCCCCAUUUGCGACUCCACUAACAGAUUGUUCUCCAUAUAUUUUUCAUUUAAAUUUCCUUCACCUUAAAUUUAAAGCAGCACCGAGCACAAGAAAAUUCAUACAAAAGAAAUCACAGUUAAAAUAGUUGUUCUGAUUUGGCUUUGGUUCCAUGAUGUUGCUAAUACUCUUCAAAAAUAUUUAUAGGUGUGUUUUGAAUCCUCCAAAAGUAGUGCAUUUUUGGAGGAUCUGUCACGUAGGUUCCAUGUUAUGUGAAUCUAGAGGCUCUUUAUCCUCACCAACCAUAGACUGAGCUUUUCAUGAAGGUAUUACAUUAUUUUAAGCAGCAUAAGAGAAAAAUAUUGAUGAAUUUGCUUUUCACCCGAAAACUAGUACGUGUGCUUAAUGUGAGAGAAGAAUUAUCAGCCUUGCAACUUUGUGCCACUAUUUUUGUUCUUGUUGCAGGUAAUGAUCUUUGAUGUAGAUAUAAUAGAC